rnacentral:rRNA from 1 species
GAUGAACGCUGGCGGCGUGCCUAAUACAUGCAAGUCGAGCGAACAGACGAGGAGCUUGCUCCUCUGACGUUAGCGGCGGACGGGUGAGUAACACGUGGAUAACCUACCUAUAAGACUGGGAUAACUUCGGGAAACCGGAGCUAAUACCGGAUAAUAUAUUGAACCGCAUGGUUCAAUAGUGAAAGACGGUUUUGCUGUCACUUAUAGACGGAUCCGCGCCGCAUUAGCUAGUUGGUAAGGUAACGGCUUACCAAGGCAACGAUGCGUAGCCGACCUGAGAGGGUGAUCGGCCACACUGGAACUGAGACACGGUCCAGACUCCUAUGGGAGGCAGCAGUAGGGAAUCUUCCGCAAUGGGCGAAAGCCUGACGGAGCAACGCCGCGUGAGUGAUGAAGGUCUUCGGAUCGUAAAACUCUGUUAUUAGGGAAGAACAAAUGUGUAAGUAACUAUGCACGUCUUGACGGUACCUAAUCAGAAAGCCACGGCUAACUACGUG